UACAGAGGUCCCAAGCGUUGUUCGGAUUCACUGGGCGGAAAGGGUGCGUAGGUGGUGAGGUAAGUCGGAUGUGAAAGCUCGGAGCUCAACUCCGAAAUGGCAUUGGAAACUACCUUGCUCGAGGGUUGGAGGGGGGACUGGAAUGCUUGGUGUAGCAGUGAAAUGCGUAGAUAUCAAGCGGAACACCAGUGGCGAAGGCGAGUCCCUGGACAACUCCUGACACUGAGGCACGAAAGCUAGGGGAGCAAACAGG
rnacentral:rRNA from 1 species